AUUGAACGCUGGCGGCAGGCCUAACACAUGCAAGUCGAGCGGAAACGAGUUAUCAGAACCUUCGGGGGACGAUAACGGCGUCGAGCGGCGGACGGGUGAGUAAUGCCUAGGAAAUUGCCCUGAUGUGGGGGAUAACCAUUGGAAACGAUGGCUAAUACCGCAUGAUGCCUACGGGCCAAAGAGGGGGACCUUCGGGCCUCUCGCGUCAGGAUAUGCCUAGGUGGGAUUAGCUAGUUGGUGAGGUAAGGGCUCACCAAGGCGACGAUCCCUAGCUGGUCUGAGAGGAUGAUCAGCCACACUGGAACUGAGACGCGGUCCAGACUCCUACGGGAGGCAGCAGUGGGGAAUAUUGCACAAUGGGCGCAAGCCUGAUGCAGCCAUGCCGCGUGUGUGAAGAAGGCCUUCGGGUUGUAAAGCACUUUCAGUCGUGAGGAAGGUGGUAGUGUUAAUAGCACUAUCAUUUGACGUUAGCGACAGAAGAAGCACCGGCUAACUCCGUGCCAGCAGCCGCGGUAAUACGGAGGGUGCGAGCGUUAAUCGGAAUUACUGGGCGUAAAGCGCAUGCAGGUGGUUUGUUAAGUCAGAUGUGAAAGCCCGGGGCUCAACCUCGGAAUUGCAUUUGAAACUGGCAGACUAGAGUACUGUAGAGGGGGGUAGAAUUUCAGGUGUAGCGGUGAAAUGCGUAGAGAUCUGAAGGAAUACCGGUGGCGAAGGCGGCCCCCUGGACAGAUACUGACACUCAGAUGCGAAAGCGUGGGGAGCAAACAGG
rnacentral:rRNA from 1 species